rnacentral:rRNA from 1 species
AUUGAACGCUGGCGGCAGGCCUAACACAUGCAAGUCGAGCGGAUGAAGGGAGCUUGCUCCUGGAUUCAGCGGCGGACGGGUGAGUAACGCCUAGGAAUCUGCCUGGUAGUGGGGGAUAACGUCCGGAAACGGGCGCUAAUACCGCAUACGUCCUGAGGGAGAAAGUGGGGGAUCUUCGGACCUCACGCUAUCAGAUGAGCCUAGGUCGGAUUAGCUAGUUGGUGGGGUAAAGGCCUACCAAGGCGACGAUCCGUAACUGGUCUGAGAGGAUGAUCAGUCACACUGGAACUGAGACACGGUCCAGACUCCUACGGGAGGCAGCAGUGGGGAAUAUUGGACAAUGGGCGAAAGCCUGAUCCAGCCAUGCCGCGUGUGUGAAGAAGGUCUUCGGAUUGUAAAGCAUUUUAAGUUGGGAGGAAGGGCAGUAAGUUAAUACCCUGCUGUUUUGACGUUACCAACAGAAUAAGCACCGGCUAACUUCGUG